UACAGAGGGUGCAAGCGUUGUUCGGAAUUACUGGGCGUAAAGCGCGCGCAGGCGGCCCUUUAAGUCUACCCGUGAAAUGCCGGAGCUCAACUCCGUGCACGCCGGGGGAUACUGGGGGGCUGGAGACAUGUAGAGGCAAGCGGAAUUCCGGGUGUAGCGGUGGAAUGCGUAGAUAUCCGGAAGAACACCUGAGGCGAAGGCGGCUUGCUGGGCAUGAUCUGACGCUGAGGCGCGAAAGCGUGGGGAGCAAACAGG
rnacentral:rRNA from 1 species